GGAUGAACGCUGGCGGCGUGCCUAAUACAUGCAAGUCGAGCGAACGGACGAGAAGCUUGCUUUUCUGAUGUUAGCGGCGGACGGGUGAGUAACACGUGGCUAACCUACCUAUAAGACUGGGAUAACUUCGGGAAACCGGAGCUAAUACCGGAUAAUAUUUUGAACCGCAUGGUUCAAAAGUGAAAGACGGUCUUGCUGUCACUUAUAGAUGGAUCCGCGCUGCAUUAGCUAGUUGGUAAGGUAACGGCUUACCAAGGCAACGAUGCAUAGCCGACCUGAGAGGGUGAUCGGCCACACUGGAACUGAGACACGGUCCAGACUCCUACGGGAGGCAGCAGUAGGGAAUCCUCCGCAAUGGGCGAAAGCCUGACGGAGCAACGCCGCGUGAGUGAUGAAGGUCUUCGGAUCGUAAAACUCUGUUAUUAGGGAAGAACAUAUGUGUAAGUAACUGUGCACAUCUUGACGGUACCUAAUCAGAAAGCCACGGCUAACUACGUG
rnacentral:rRNA from 1 species